rnacentral:rRNA from 1 species
UACGGGGGGGGCAAGCGUUGUUCGGAAUUACUGGGCGUAAAGAGCGCGCAGGCGGUCGUUCAAGUCGAGUGUGAAAGCCCCCGGCUCAACUGGGGAGGGUCAUUCGAUACUGAUCGACUCGAAGGCAGGAGAGGGUAGUGGAAUUCCCGGUGUAGAGGUGAAAUUCGUAGAUAUUGGGAAGAACACCGGUGGCGAAGGCGGCUCUCUGGACCGAGACUGACGCUGAGGCGCGAAAGCGUGGGGAGCAAACAGG